AUUUUGGUGUCUGCAGCAGGUCCUGGAACCAGUCCCCUUCGGAUAUCAAGGGAGGAUUGUACAAGAGAGUUUUCUUUGGCUGGUGGCAGAUGAGGAGGUCAGAGAGAUUCAAAGCAUGAGAAGGAUUUGGCAUGUCCUUGCUGGCUUUGAAGAUAGAGGGACCACACUCAAGGACCAGAGAGAAGCCACAGUUGCUGACAGUG
rnacentral:lncRNA from 10 species